rnacentral:ribozyme from 1 species
UUUUUUUUUUUUUUUUUUUUUUUUUUUUUUUUUUCCCA